GACGAACGCUGGCGGCGUGCUUAACACAUGCAAGUCGAGCGGUAAGGCCCUUUCGGGGGUACACGAGCGGCGAACGGGUGAGUAACACGUGGGUGACCUGCCCUUAGCUCUGGGAUAAGCCUGGGAAACUGGGUCUAAUACCGGAUAUGACUCCAUGACGCAUGUUGUGGGGUGGAAAGCCUUGUGCGGCUAGGGAUGGGCCCGCGGCCUAUCAGCUUGUUGGUGGGGUGAUGGCCCACCAAGGCGACGACGGGUAGCCGGCCUGAGAGGGCGACCGGCCACACUGGGACUGAGACACGGCCCAGACUCCUACGGGAGGCAGCAGUGGGGAAUCUUGCGCAAUGGGCGAAAGCCUGACGCAGCGACGCCGCGUGGGGAUGACGGCCUCGGUUGUAAC
rnacentral:rRNA from 1 species